AAUGAACGUUGGCGGCGUGGAUUAGGCAUGCAAGUCGAGCGGUAGAGGUCCUCUCACCCCGAUUCAUUUAGCCGCCGGUCAAUGACCGGCGGCCGAGUGGGCGAGGUGAGAGGGCCUUGAGAGCGGCGAAAGGGAGAGUAACGCGUAGUUACGUGCCCCGAGGUCUGGAAUAGCCACGGGAAACUGUGGGUAAUGCCAGAUGAUCUCUUCGGAGCAAAGGUGUGAUUCCGCCUUGGGAGCGGACUGCGUUGUACUAGCUAGUUGGUAGGGUAAUGGCCUACCAAGGCGAUGAUGCAUAGCGGGCGUGAGAGCGUGGCCCGUCUCACUGGGACUGAGACACUGCCCAGACACCUACGGGUGGCUGCAGUCGAGAAUCUUCGGCAAUGCGCGAAAGCGUGACCGAGCGACGCCGUGUGUGGGAUGAAGGCCUUCGGGUUGUAAACCACUGUCGUAGGGGAGGAAGGCUCCGUGAAGAACGGGGCUUGACCUAUCCUAGGAGGAAGGACGGGCUAAGUUCGUGCCAGCAGCCGCAGUAAAAC
rnacentral:rRNA from 1 species